CUAUGCGCCUUGCCAGCCCGCUCAGAAACUUAAAGGAAUUGGACGGGGGCCCGCACAAGCGGUGGAGCAUGUGGUUUAAUUCGAUGAUACGCGAGGAACCUUACCUGGGCUCAAAUGUAUGUUGACGUAUUCUGAAAGGGAUACUUCUUCGGACAAUAUACAAGGUGCUGCAUGGUUGUCGUCAGCUCGUGCCGUGAGGUGUCGGGUUAAGUCCCAUAACGAGCGCAACCCUUGCCUUUAGUUGCCAGCAGUUCGGCUGGGCACUCUAAAGGGACUGCCGGUGUUAAACCGGAGGAAGGUGGGGAUGACGUCAAGUCCUCAUGGCCUUUAUGACCAGGGCUACACACGUACUACAAUGGCCGAUACAAAGGGCAGCGACACUGCGAGGUGAAGCCAAUACCCGUAAAAUCGGUCUCAGUCCGGAUUGGAGUCUGCAACUCGACUCCAUGAAGUUGGAAUCGCUAGUAAUCGUGGAUCGGCAUGCCGCGGUGAAUACGUUCCCGGGCCUU
rnacentral:rRNA from 1 species